UAACACAUGCAAGUCGAACGAAGUAGCAAUACUUAGUGGCAGACGGGUGAGUAACACGUAGGUAUCUGCCCUUUGGCCUGGAAUAACACGAGGAAACUUGUGCUAAUACCGGAUAAGUCUUUACGGAGAAAGCUUUAUGCACCAUUGGAUGAGCCUGCACUUGAUUAGUUUGUUGGUGGGGUAAUGGCCUACCAAGACUGUGAUCAAUAGCUGAUUUGAGAGGAUGAUCAGCCACAUUGGGACUGAGACACGGCCCAAACUCCUACGGGAGGCAGCAGUGGGGAAUCUUGCACAAUGGAGGAAACUCUGAUGCAGCGAUGCCGCGUGAGUGAAGAAGGCCCUUGGGUUGUAAAGCUCUUUCGUCGGGGAAGAAAAUGACUGUACCCGAAUAAGAAGGUCCGGCUAACUUCGUGCCAGCAGCCGCGGUAAUACGAAGGGACCUAGCGUAGUUCGGAAUUACUGGGCUUAAAGAGUUCGUAGGUGGUUGAAAAAGUUAGUGGUGAAAUCCCAGAGCUUAACUCUGGAACUGCCAUUAAAACUUUUCAGCUAGAGUAUGAUAGAGGAAAGCAGAAUUUCUAGUGUAGAGGUGAAAUUCGUAGAUAUUAGAAAGAA
rnacentral:rRNA from 1 species